GCAUUCCACAAGUAUUUAUUGAUCUUACUGCAUACCAGGCCCUCAGAUGGGGACACAGCCACGAAUGAAGCAUGGUCCCUGCUACCACAAGGUCCUCUUCACUUACACACACACUGAGGACUACUGCUUCGUCACGCUUUCCGAAGCAGCUGAGUGGGGCUAUGUAAGUGACCUUGCAGAUGAAGUCGCCACCUGCAAGAACUCACAGGUGAGAACAGAGGGUGGCCACCAAAAGGUCACUGAACUCCCCCGAGAAAACUGUUGAGCCACACACAUGUCCAACUUUCCAGGUCCAAGACAUACUGCAGUACUGCUUUGUAAUAGCCACCAGGUGCAAAGCCAGGAAGAACCAGAGGGAAACAGGUUUUUCUCACAUGAGGGAAGAGCAGCCUGCAUCACUUAAUGGUUGGACUGAGUUAAUGCAGGACUUAGGCCUCUUAAAAGGCAACAAUGAGAACCCUUACUUGGACCCACUCCCCACCACGGUUGAUCUCUCAUUAUGCUGAGCAUAUCUCUUGGAAAGGGGCAGGGCGGGCGCGGUGGCUCAUGCCUGUAAUCCCAGCACUUUGGAAGGCCAAGGCAGGCAGCAGAAGAGUUCAGACAGGAAAUUUCUCUCUGUGGCAUAACACAAAUGGAAAGAAAACCACUAGGGGACACACAGGAAGAAAUAAGGUUUCUGUUUCUUCCUCAAGUGUCCCAAGUGCCAUGGCA
rnacentral:lncRNA from 10 species